AAGAGGCACAUUGGCAGGUAACGAGCGGCGGCGGCGGCUGCGGUCCCGAGUUCAGCGUGAACAGCGGCGAUUUUCUAUUUUGUACAUACAUUGUUUUGUAUAUACUGUAUAUGAUGACUUCGGUGAGCAGUGACCGUUCCCGAGGUUCUCGGGAAAAAACACAGAUUUCAGCGACACAGGCAACACAACUACAGAAACAAGUAGUACAGGCAACAGCUGAACAGAUGCGUCUUGCUCAAGUGAUCUUUGAUAAAAAUGAUUCAGAGUUUGAAGCUAAUGUUAAACAGGUAA